CCGACGAAGCGUGAGUGACGGUAGGGGUAGAAGAAGCACCGGCCAACUACGUGCCAGCAGCCGCGGUAAUACGUAGGGUGCGAGCGUUGUCCGGAAUUAUUGGGCGUAAAGAGCUCGUAGGCGGUCUGUCGCGUCGAUCGUGAAAACUUGGGGCUUAACCCUGAGCUUGCGGUCGAUACGGGCAUGACUGGAGUUGGGCAGGGGAGACUGGAAUUCCUGGUGUAGCGGUGAAAUGGGCAGAUAUCAGGAGGAACACCGGUGGCGAAGGCAGGUCUCUGGGCCGAUACUGACGCUGAGGAGCGAAAGCGUGGGGAGCGAACAGGAUUAGAUACCCUGGUAGUCCACGCCGUAAACGGUGGGCGCUAGGUGUGGGGGCCAUUCCACGGUCUCUGUGCCGUAGCUAACGCAUUAAGCGCCCCGCCUGGGGAGUACGGCCGCAAGGCUAAAACUCAAAGGAAUUGACG
rnacentral:rRNA from 1 species